UACGGAGGAUACAAGCGUUAUCCGGAUUUAUUGGGUUUAAAGGGUGCGCAGGCGGACCGCUAAGUCUGGGGUGAGAAGUUGGGGCUUAACUCCAAUCGUGCCUUUGAUACUGGCGGACUAGAGUGCUAUAGGCGUGGCCGGAAUGUGAUGUGUAGCGGUGAAAUGCUUAGAUAUGUCACAGAACACCGAUCUGGAAGUCAGGUCACGAGUUCGCAACUGACGCUCAUGCACGAAAGCGUGGGGAUCAAAC
rnacentral:rRNA from 1 species